AAUAAAUAUAGUUUUGCACUAUUCACGUUUAAUGUUUGACCGUUCGUCUUAUUUGAAAAUUUUUUAUGAUUAGUAUUUUUAUUACUAUUAGAUGAUAAAACAUGAAUGGUAAUUUAUGUGUGUCUAAAUAUUUUUAAUUUUUUCACAAAUUUUUUAAAUAAGAUAGACGGUCAAACAUUGGACACGGAUAUCCACGACUAUACUUAUU
rfam:Oryza rufipogon genomic scaffold, chr10